GCACUCAUGGCUCCAUGGCAGAGCAUCUGUUUGACACACAGAAGGCCCCAGGUUCAGUCCCAGGCAUCUCCU
rnacentral:tRNA from 1 species